rnacentral:lncRNA from 1 species
CCAUCUGAAGCUUGUGAUACAGCCUGAGAGAUGUUUCAGAUAAGUCAGAAAUAUUUAAUUUUUAAAUUCAUAAUAUAUGUACAUUCUAUUUAUUAGUACACGCUUCGAUUCUAUCUUGCAUGAGUAAUAAUGAUUCGAGACUCUCCAGGAUGAGGAGGCUGGCUAUCAGACCUUCGAUGAGAUGGCCACAUGAAGGCUUCGAGAUAUCCUCUACAACCUCAGGCAGUCCACCAUCAAGCAUUCUGAUUUUCAAUUACUAUCAGACUGGAGGUCCUACAGGGAUCAUUGGAUGCGAGCGGACGUAUGGAAGGCCUUU